UAUAUAUAUUCAGAUAUUAAUCAGCACCAAUUUCAAUACCAUGCAAUUUUCUCUAAUUUAUUUUAUUUAUUUUUAUUUUAUUUCAUAUAUUUCCAAUCAUCGAUUUAUGUUUCUUUUGUCAUUUAUUUCUGUCCCUAUUUAAUAUAUUUACUGGAGGUUGAAGAGGAAGGUGCAUGGAUGGAAAGGGUGGAAAUGUAGAUGGAGGAAGAUGUCCAACCUCGGCUGAAGAGCCUCCUCCACCUUUCUGUUGCGGUAACGCAUCUGGCAGGAAAAGCCCUGUGUACAUCUUCUCCUCCUUCCUUUUCCCACCUUCUCAUGCUGCUCUUUGUUUUUCAUCUCCUUCUCGGACACUUCUUAUUUUCUCCGACUUGUCCUGUUGAUCCUCCAUCUGUUUGCCAAAGAAGCCGGUCCUGCUCUUCUCCUUCUUCUUCUUCAUUUUUAAAUCCUCCAGGACCGUCUUCGCGUCCGGCACCUGUUUGAAUCCGGCCGGGCCUCCUCACUCUGGAGGAAUUAAUUUGCUGCUCAGCUUGUGUGUGGUGUGAGCUCCUCGCAGACUUCCCUUUGCCUUGAUGAGAUCCAGGAUGGAAGUGUCCCUAGCGGUGUCCUUUUGAUGGAUCUGUUCGUCCAACUGAUUCACCUUCCAUGGCACUCUGCUCUCACUCUGGCUGUGGACUGCUUGCACGUCUUCUGCAGGGACUGUUUCUUAAAUUUCUCCACGUUGCCUGGCUGCAUUUUCUAAAUGUAGAAGGCAACGUUAGCACCAAGAACCAUUUUCCCAGCAUGCACUUUUCAUCAUGGCUUUUGUGGAUGCCUCUCUUAAAAACUGAAUUAACUGAAUUUAAAGCUGCAGGGCAUGGACAAUUCAGUUCUAAACUUACGUUCUUUAUUUUGAGCUAAACACUCAUACUUUUAACCCCAUCUCUUGUAAUUGAAAUUAGAAGAUUUAUUAGUAUUUAUUUUUUUCUAAUUAGUCCAAUUAAAUAUGAAAACUUAUAUAGCCUAAAUAUUGUUCAGCUAUUAUUUAAUUGAACUUUCUUAGUUUGAUUUGUCAGUUGUUGACUACAUGCAGAGGUUCAUAUAACUGCUACUUCAAUAAUUAUAGCAUUAAAUCACAGCCAUGACAAUACUUUGAUGUUCCAGACCUUGACGUUAUCUUGUUAAAUUCUAAUUAAAUACCGCAAAGUUCGAAGUUUA